CUACGGGGCGCUGCAGUGGGGAAUAUUGCAAAAUGGGCGACAGCCUGCUGAAGACAUGCCGCGUGUAUGCAGAAGGCCUUCGGGUUGUAAAGUACUUUCAGCGGGGAUUAAGGGCGUAAAGUUAAGACCUUUGCUCAUUGACGUUAGCCGCAGAAGAAGCACCGGCUAACUCCGUGCCAGCAGCCGCGGUAAUACGGAGGGUGCAAGCGUUAAUCGGAAUUACUGGGCGUAAAGCGCACGCAGGCGGUUUGUUAAGUCAGAUGUGAAAUCACCGGGCUCAACCUGGGAACUGCAUCUGAUACUGGCAAGCUAGAGUCUCGUAGAGGGGGGUAGAAUUCCAGGUGUAGCGGUGAAAUGCGUAGAGCUCUGGAGGAAUACCGGUGGCGAAGGCGGCCCCCUGGACGAAGACUGACGCUCAGGUGCGAAAGCGUGGGGAGCAAACAGGAUUAGAUACCCCUGUAGUC
rnacentral:rRNA from 1 species